GGGCGCAGCCUGAUCCGCCAUGCCGCGUGAGUGACGAAGGCCUUGGGGUUGUAAAGCACUUUCGGUCGGAAGGAAAUCGCGUGGGCUAAUAUCCCGCGUGGAUGACGGUACCGGAAGAAGAAGCACCGGCUAACUACGUGCCACCUCCCGCGGUAAUACUUAGGGUGAGAGCGUUAAUCGGAAUUACUGGGCGUAAAGCGUGCGCAGGUGGUUUCGCAAGUCAGGCGUGAAAUCCCCGGGCUUAACCUGGGAAUUGCGCUUGAAACUACGAGACUGGAGUUUGGCAGAGGGA
rnacentral:rRNA from 1 species